CAGCACCGCGGUAAUACGGAGGGUGCAAGCGUUAAUCGGAAUUACUGGGCGUAAAGCGCACGCAGGCGGUCUGACAAGUCAGAUGUGAAAUCCCCGGGCUUAACCUGGGAACUGCAUUUGAAACUGUCAGGCUGGAGUCUUGUAGAGGGGGGUAGAAUUCCAGGUGUAGCGGUGAAAUGCGUAGAGAUCUGGAGGAAUACCGGUGGCGAAGGCGGCCCCCUGGACAAAGACUGACGCUCAGGUGCGAAAGCGUGGGGAGCAAACAGGAUUAGAUACCCGUGUAGUCCCUGUCUCUUAUACA
rnacentral:rRNA from 1 species